CCUAUAGCAUCGAGCCGGAAAUCCAUAGGAACAAUCGUUUCUUCUGGCCGCUUCAAGGAUUCUGGAAUUUUAUUAUCUUUGUCCGACCAGUGUAUCAUCACAUGCGGAGGAAAGAAAAAGAUACAAAUUGGUUCUUCGUGACUUACUGUAAUGCAUUGAAGCAUUUAUUGAGUGGUGGCGCAAAACCUGCAAGCCGCAUCUCGAAGGCGCGUGCUAAACGGAAUGAGGCAAUCAUG
rnacentral:RNase_MRP_RNA from 1 species